rnacentral:rRNA from 1 species
GAUGAACGCUGGCGGCGUGCCUAAUACAUGCAAGUCGAGCGAACAGACGAGGAGCUUGCUCCUCUGACGUUAGCGGCGGACGGGUGAGUAACACGUGGAUAACCUACCUAUAAGACUGGGAUAACUUCGGGAAACCGGUGCUAAUACCGGAUAAUAUAUUGAACCGCAUGGUUCAAUAGUGAAAGACGGUUUUGCUUUCACUUAUAGAUGGAUCCGCUCCGCAUUAGCAAGUUGUUAAGGUAACGGCUUACCAAGGCAACGAUCCGUAGCCGACCUGAGAGGGUGAUCGGCCACACUGGAACUGAGACACGGUCCAGACUCCUACGGGAGGCAGCAGUAGGGAAUCUUCCGCAAUGGGCGAAAGCCUGACGGAGCAACGCCGCGUGGGUGAUGAAGGUCUUCGGAUCGUAAAACUCUGUUAUUAGGGAAGAAGAAAUGUGUAAGUAACUAUGCACGUCUUGACGGUACCUAAUCAGAAAGCCACGGCUAACUACGUG